UACGUAGGGUACGAGCGUUGUCCGGAAUUAUUGGGCGUAAAGGGCUCGUAGGCGGUUUGUCGCGUCGGGAGUGAAAACACACAGCUUAACUGUGUGCUUGCUUCCGAUACGGGCAGACUAGAGGUAUGCAGGGGAGAACGGAAUUCCUGGUGUAGCGGUGAAAUGCGCAGAUAUCAGGAGGAACACCGGUGGCGAAGGCGGUUCUCUGGGCAUUACCUGACGCUGAGGAGCGAAAGUGUGGGGAGCGAACAGG
rnacentral:rRNA from 1 species